rnacentral:miRNA from 1 species
CCUCCCGUUCAGUCCGGUUC